rnacentral:rRNA from 1 species
GUAAAGCACGUUUCAGUCGUGAGGAAGGUAGUGUAGUUAUAGCUGCAUAUUUGACGUUAGCGACAGAAGAAGCACCGGCUAACUCCGUGCCAGCAGCCGCGGUAAUACGGAGGGUGCGAGCGUUAAUCGGAAUUACUGGGCGUAAAGCGCAUGCAGGUGGUUUGUUAAGUUCUAGAUGUGAAAGACCCGGGGCGUCAACCUCGGAAUAGCAUUUGAAACUAGGCAGACUAGAGUACUGUAGAGGGGGGUAGGAAGUUUCAGGUGUAGCGGUGAAAUGCGUAGAGAUCUGAAGGAAUACCGGUGGCGAAGGCGGCCCCCUCGGACAGAUACUGACACUCAGAUGCGAAAGCGUGGGGAGCAAACAGGAUUAGAUACCCUGGUAG